UGCUAGUAAAGGGAAGUGUAGAUUUGUGAUUGUUAAUUUUUUGUUUUUGGUUGAAUUUCUAGAUUUAUUAGAAAAUUUCGAUAGUUGAUUGUUGAUUCUUUAUAAGCUUUGAUUGUUGAUUUGGGAUGCAUUGGAAUCUUUGGUUUGAUUGAGUGAUUUUUCUUACUGAAAAUUUUUAGAUGCUUUCUAAUUCAUUUUCUUGCUGUAAUAUGUCAGUAUGCUCUUGCACACGAACUGUUUUACAGUCUGAUUGGAAUAUCUUUGUUUUGAAACUAUUCCUGAUCGUCGAGCAUCACAUUGUUUUUGUUUGAUUGUGGCCUAAGUAUGGUUACCAACUUUCCAUUUAUUAUGUAUGUUUCUUUGAUUACAUCACUUCGGUGAUUUUGUUUGAUUAUGCAGAUUCCUUUAAUUUAUUAUGCUGCAAAUUUUAAAACUUGUUUUUGUUGAGGGGGAGGGAGUGGCCAAAAAUCGAAUUACCGAACCAAAUCAGUUGGUUCGGUUUGGUUCUAUCCAUAUAUUUUGUUUGAUUCUCAUAUUUAGCAUUUCAAUUAUUUGGUUAGUUAACCCCCUAGUGAUGAGAAAUAGCAGAGUAGCCAUCUAAAGAUAGGACAACCUCAGAGUUUGUCUAUUUCUUCCUGGAUAAAUACGAGUUAGGAACAAAGUUUGUUUUUAUCGUAGAAGUUUGAAAAUAGGAUUCCCCCCCUUUGGCCUGCUGAGGAUUUUAUUUCUCAGUCUUACAUAAUUGAAUUCACAUGGCGAUUCAUUUGGCCCUAUGCUUACGAAUGGCUUGCUAGAGAAUUUAUUUUUAUCAAAUCGUUUCCUUGUUUUAUCAUGCCAAUUGUAUAAAAAAAUAAAGAAAUAGAAUGGAUAACAAAUGGGCUCUAAUAUGAUUUUUUUUUGUUUUAAUUCUUGGUAAAAAUAAAUAUUUUUAAUAAAGACACAAGUUGUUCUAUAAAAAAAUUAUAGUGUUAAAUUAUGCAAUGAAGGAACUGAUUGAUUCCGUUAAAAAAGAAGAUAAUCAUUGGAAUUAAUAAUUGAGGUAUCGUAAUAGUAUCAUGUCAUGUCCGCAUCAAGUCAUGUCUAAUUUUGGGUGUUUGACGUUUUCAUUUCUUCAACUGAACUUUAAUUAUUCCUCCACCGACAGAUCUUGUUACCCUUUUUACGAGCCCUUUCUGUUAGCAUUGUUAUCUUCUUUGUGCAAGAUGUUCAUACAUGAUAAAUAAAUUGGUUCUGAAGUUUAAUCAGAUUUUGCAAUUGUUUGUAAUACCUCGUAUUUUAUUCAACAUGAGGGAGAUUGUAAUUUAAAACUUCAUUCUUUAUGUCCUUUAAUGGCACGAACUGUAUCUGUUAAUGGUAUGGAAAGAUCAAUAAGGGACCAUUCAAGUGGUGAGGGGAUUUAUUCAGGAGAUUUAUUCAGCCUAAAAGAGUCUUAGGUUUGAAUUUGUCAUUAGCCUUUUAAUGUGGUGGUCUAUUUACGUUUAAUUUUUCUCGUUUACAUAAGUAUCUUAAGUUUUGGAUUAGAUAAAGGUCUGAUGGAAAUACCUUUAAUGUGUUAA
rnacentral:misc_RNA from 1 species